UGCAUAGUUAUUUGGUGGUAUCUCAGCCACUGCACACUUGACACGCCCUGCCGCCACGAUCGCUCACCUGAUUCAGAGCAGCAAUUUACUGCAGCUAACACAUGUAAGUAUGCACACAUCCAUGCAAGUUUCCAAUGACUUCCAUCUACGCACUGUUAAUCUGUUAUUCAUCCACGCCAGCACACACACGAUUUCAUUGUCACAUUAUUUAGCAGAUCCCGAUAAUUUCAUUCACAUGAUUAUUUAUUGAGUACAUACAUCCUUUUUUCUUGACUCUUUAAGUUUUGGUGGAGAUCAAAUGGAAUUAACUCCAGCCAUGGAUACAAAGACCAUUUCUGAGAGUUGUAUGUUUAAUUUUUUGUUAGUUGUUACAGGCAAUUUAUUUUCGUGGCUUGGCACUGCUGAUCAUAGUCCAUGUCAGUAACCUUGGAUUGGAGAAAGGUGCUAUUUGGAACAUGUCUCAUCAUUACGAGUUGGAAUUACAUAACAUGAUAAUGUUGUCAAUUUUAUCCUCCUUCAUAGAAUUAGUUCUUUACUAGCUAGCUUGAGUGGUUCACUUUUGCCAUUAAAAAUUCUAAGCUUCAGAGAUUUGCAUAGAGCAACAUUCAGUGGUUCAUAUACAUAUCUGAUAAAUAGUGCUCUGUUGUAGUCCUUGGCCGUGGAGUUGAUUCUUCGAUAUGUAUUGUGUUCUUAGCAGCAAUAUUUGAUUAUAUGUCUCGCACCACAUAAUCUUUUGUGUGAACACUUGCUGGAUUAUAUGGUACAUUGGGUUUAUACAGUAUCUUGUUUUCUACU
rnacentral:lncRNA from 1 species